AGCUACAGUAAUCUUUUAGCCAGAUGUGUAAUGCCAGCAGUCUGCUGAAUCUUUCACACCCGCGGCACAACGAUGGUAUUGGACCUGAAAUGAUUGCCGUUUUUUGGAGUCUUUUAAUGCUUAAGUCAGUUCUUUAAAAUCCAUUUUCAGAUGUUCCGAGCUAGCCCUCCUGAUGUCGUUUGACCCAUAUGGACUACGACAGCGUCAGCUCCCGGCAUCUGUGGUAGAACAGUCAGAAGCAGCCUUGUGAUGUCCUGUACUCGUGCUCCUGGGUAGCCUUACGGUCUGGUGAGGAUGGGAGCUCUGAGGAUCUGAACACGAGGUAGAAGCCACCGGAGAGGGAGACAGAACCGAGGACGAAGACGCAGGUACCUCCGGAUUUGAUCUUGAUUGGGAAGCCCCCAAGGAAGAAGGUGCUGGAACCUCUGGAUCCAGGGUGGCAAAGCUGUUUCUGGUCUGUGUCAGGUCCAGGCUCAACAUCUCCAAGGAGACCCACGUUGCCAGAGGACGCUGUCUUCGACUUCCACGGCGAAUGACGUAUCUCCAUGGCUGGUUGGUUGGGUCGAGAACAGCUCCGUUCUCCAGGGAAGGGGGAGACCCCUUCGGGAAUGGAACCCUGCUGAGCACUGGUCAGUCGGCUGCGGAGAGCCGACACGGCAGCAACACUUCCACCAGACCAGAGCGCCAUCCUGCUACUGGGGUGGAUGAAAAAGAAAACGUAGGCGGGCGUGGAUUCCCCAGUAGGUUUGCAAGCAGUGCUACAUUGAAAGUCAACACGGUCCACAUUGUCUUGGAACAAAGCGAAGUAAACACAGCUCCUGCAGCGCUGGAAACGUUCAAUAGCGACCUCCAUUUAAGACCUCCGAGCCAGCUAGGCUAGCUGGGCUUCCGCGUCUCUCCCCCUAUACGGAAUCUGGAGGGAUCCCGGGACAGACAGCAGCGCUGGAAACGUUCAAUAGCGGCCUCCAUUUGAGACCUCCGUGCCAGCUAGGCUAGCUGGGCUUCCGCGUCUCUCCCCAUAUACGGAAUCUGGAGGGAUCCCGGGACAGACAGCAGCGCUGGAAACGUUCAAUAGCGGCCUCCAUUUGAGACCUCCGAGCCAGCUAGGCUAGCUGGGCUUCCGUGUCUCUCCCCUUAUACGGAAUCUGGAGGGAUCCCGGGACAGACAGCAGCGCUCACAGAAACUAAGCUCAACAGAGCUGCAGGAUUCAAAAUCAAAUAAAAGUAUGUAAAAACACUGUCAGCUUUACAAAAACAAUAAACCGAGGUCUCUCGAUCAGCUUUUGGCAUUCAACACUGUGUGUGAAUGGUGUCUGUGUGAAUCGUGUGUGUGUGUGUAUAUACUGUAUGUGAAUUGUGUGUUUGUGAAUGGUAUUUGUGUGUGUAAAUGGUUUCUGUUUGAGAGAGUGGCCAGCAGAGGGAGCUGUUUGUGUAUGAACUAUUAUUGAGUGAAUCGUGUCUGUGGGUGUGGAUGGUGCCUGUGUGUGUGAAUCGUGUGUGUGUGAAUCGUGUCUGUAUAUGUGAAUCGUGUGUGUUUGUGAAGGGUUUCUGUUUGAGAGAGUGGCCAGCAGAGGGAGCUGUUUGUGUAUAAACUAUUAUUGAGUCCAUGUCCAUCACUUCUCUCCUCUAUUGUCUCUAUCCCACCUCUAUUAUACCCAUCCCUCCUCCUCAUUUCCCUGCAACCUCUUCUUCCAAUGAAUGCUACUUUGAGAUUGGCUAGAGUGCAAUCAAUACUUCUCUGUAGUAGAGUUAGAAGAAACCGUGAAGUACAAGUCAGAAACAGGUCUGUAGUAGAAGUCAGGAGAAACAGCUCUGUAGUAGAAACAGGUCUGUAGUAGAAGUCAGGAGAAACAGGUCUGUAGUAGAAACAGGUCUGUAGUAGAAGUCAGGAGAAACAGGUCUGUAGUAGAAACAGGUCUGUAGUAGAAGUCAGGAGAAAC
rnacentral:lncRNA from 1 species